UACGAAGGGGGCGAGCGUUGUUCGGAUUUACUGGGCGUAAAGCGAGUGUAGGCGGUCUGAAAAGUCGGGUGUGAAAGCCCCGGGCUCAACCCGGGAAGUGCACUCGAAACUGCCAGGCUAGAGUAUCGGAGAGGUUGGUGGAAUUCUCGGUGUAGAGGUGAAAUUCGUAGAUAUCGAGAGGAACACCGGUGGCGAAGGCGGCCAACUGGACGAAUACUGACGCUGAGACUCGAAAGCGUGGGGAGCAAACAGG
rnacentral:rRNA from 1 species